AGAGAAAGAGAUGAUUAAUGUCAGUUACCCACUAUUUCAGUGAUUUUCUGUGGUGAAUCAUUUUGCUGUGAUUUUUAGGGACAGAAGGACAGGGGGAGAGAGAGGAGAGAGUGAGGUAGAGAGAGAGAGAGGAGGGAGUGAAGGUAGGGAGAGAGAGAGGAGGGAGCGAGGUAGAGAGAGAGAGAGGAGGGAGUGAAGGUAGGGAGAGAGAGAGGAGGGAGCGAGGUAGAGAGAGAGAGAGGGGAGCGAGGUAGGGAGAGAGAGAGGAGAAAGCGAGGUAGAGAGAGAGAGGAGGGAGCGAGGUAGAGAGAGAGAGAGGAGGGAGUGAAGGUAGAGAGAGAGAGGAGGGAGCGAGGUAGAGAGAGCGAGGGAAUAGAAGAGACGUAGUGAGGGAGCGAUAGGGAGAGACAGACAGAGGAGUCGGUGGAAGUUAAGACAGCAGCACUGCAGUACCCUGCUCAAGCGUGCUCGGGCUCGUCACUGACGCGUUCCGCUGCGUUUCCAGAGCGACCAGGGAGAUGACCGGUGACCAGGGAGAUGGACAGACUCUUUGAUAGACAAGGAGGAGAGAGGGGAGGCCAGUGAUACAGGGAGAGUGAGAGCGAUGGGCAGAGCGAACAGGUCUGGAACAGGUCUCUGUCUCUUUAAACCGUCAGCUGCUGCAGAUCGUGUGGGCGCUGCAGUCGAGGUACAGCGAGGGAACGAGAGGACCCACAGUCCGUCAGCUACAGAACCAGUAGACAAGACCAGAGAGAUGCCAGCGGAGGCCUGAGGGCGGCGGUGUGUGUGGGCAGUAAGGGGAAACAGAGGGGGUUGGACAUAGAGUAGCUAGCUGAUGUUGAAUCGAAGGCUAGAGGAGUGUUUGCGUUUCUGCAGACUGGUUGGAGGUAAAGGGGAGUUGGUUAUGAGUGUGCGUGCGCGCGUGCGUGUGGGUGUUUGCAUGUGAGGUAAGAGCGGCGUAGGUGUGAGAACGGGGUGGCAAAGCAAGAGGGCGACGGGGUGCUGUUUCGGAGCGUGGCACAGCUGGGCGAGUGGUGGCGCUGGGAUGGUGGGCACUGGGGAGGCUGGCGAACCAGGAGCCCCCGGACCGACCGGGAGCUCCUCAGCCACGGGCAGGGGAGGGGCAGAGGGCAGUCGC
ensembl:lncRNA